rnacentral:rRNA from 1 species
UAAAAGUCGUAACAAGGUUUCCGUAGGUGAACCUGCGGAAGGAUCAUUAUCGAGUUUGAAAAGGGUUGUAGCUGGUCUUUCACGAGGCAUGUGCACACCCUACUCAUCCACUCAACACCUGUGCACACUAUGUAGGUUUAGACGAGCAUCGGGGCCCUCGUGCCUCGGUAGGAGUCUGCCUAUGUCUUUAUAAACUCUGUUUAGUAUACGAAUGUACUUGCGAUAAAACGCAUCUUAUACAACUUUCAGCAACGGAUCUCUUGGCUCUCGCAUCGAUGAAGAACGCAGCGAAAUGCGAUAAGUAAUGUGAAUUGCAGAAUUCAGUGAAUCAUCGAAUCUUUGAACGCACCUUGCGCCCCUUGGUAUUCCGAGGGGCACACCCGUUUGAGUGUCGUGAAAUUCUCAACUCAACCACCUUUGCUGGUGUUUGGGCUUGGACUUGGGGGUUUGCUGGCUUCGGUCGGCUCCCCUUGAAUGCAUUAGCUCGAACCCUUGCGGAUCAGCUAUCGGUGUGAUAAUUGUUUACGCCGUGGUUGUGAUGCCACCUUCGGGUGUUGGAUCGGCUUCUAACUGUCCCCUAGGGACAAUUUCUUUGAAAUCUGACCUCAAAUCGGGUGGGACUACCCGCUGAACUUAAGCAUAUCAAUAAGCGGAGGA